UACGAAGGGUGCAAGCGUUGCUCGGAAUCAUUGGGCGUAAAGCGCACGUAGGCGGCCUCGCAAGUUGGAUGUGAAAUCCCAUGGCUCAACCAUGGACGUGCAUCCAAAACUGCUUGGCUUGAGUACUGAAGAGGAUCGCGGAAUUCCCGGUGUAGAGGUGAAAUUCGUAGAUAUCGGGAGGAACACCAGUGGCGAAGGCGGCGAUCUGGGCAGAUACUGACGCUGAGGUGCGAAAGCGUGGGGAGCAAACAGG
rnacentral:rRNA from 1 species